UGCUGUUGUAUGCAUACCGUUUGAUUGAUUUUGUUUUUAUAUAUUUGCAAUGGAAUUAAAAAAAAUAAAUCCUUACUUUGUAUUUUGAUUGGAUCCGAUUUUGAUUUUAUUGGAAUCCCGAAACGGAUUUCUAGUUGUGGGAAAAAAGAAUAACGAUCCGUGUCCUGCACACAACCUGUUCGAUGGAAUGCUCAUGAGUAGAUCUUCACAUCAAGCUUCAAAGAGGAGGGAUAUAUGCAGAGAUGUUGAAGAGGGACCAGCUUUGCAUCCUUGAUUUCAUGAUCUUGUUGGUGGAUUAAGAACAAAAUGCCUCACCGAACAAGGCCUAUGACUGCACUCUUGGUUUUCAUGGGAGUUAAUGUUGUCUUGGUGUCGACAAUCACUCCGGUUUAUGAUUUUGUGUGCUUCCAUCCUUACUGGGAAAGAAGGAGAGAACGUCGUCGCCAGGAACAUGAAGCUGCCAUGGCAAAGGGUCCCCAGUCAAGUUAAAGGGGUGGUGUUCAGACAGAUAUUCUUUCAUACAGCUCGAGGAAGAAGAAAAGAAAAGGCUUUUUAUUGUUGUUAUGGUGUUUGUUUUCACUCCAUGGGGGUGUGAUUGUUUGUUGAUGAAGAAUGAUAUGAUCUUCAACCUGAGAAAUGCACAUCCUACUUUGGUUUUCAGUUUCUACAGGAUGAUCAGCAAAUAGAUAGUCAAGGUGACAAAUACUACAGUGAUCUGCGUUCAAGUGGAAGAGGACCAAGAUUGGCAUCUAGCAUCUUUCAUUCCAAGAGUUCAUCUUCAUGAUCAAUCCAAUGUGGGGUCCAGCCGAUCAAUGAUCCGGAUCAUUGAACCAUGCAGUGUAAAUAUAGACAUUUUUUCCCCUUUUAAUGGAUUAUAUAUUUGAUGGAAAUCA